AGCUGUAGAGUUGGUUGCUAAUCCAUCCAUCAUCUUCAUGGAUGAACCGACAUCUGGUCUUGAUGCUAGAGCUGCCGCAAUUGUUAUGCGUACAGUGAGGAACACCGUCGAUACAGGCCGAACUGUAGUCUGUACAAUUCACCAACCAAGCAUUGAUAUUUUUGAAGCUUUUGAUGAGCUAUUACUAAUGAAGAGAGGAGGACAAGUCAUUUAUGCUGGACCCCUUGGUCGCCACUCGCACAAACUUAUUGAAUACUUUGAAGCUGUCCCAGGGGUUCCUAAGAUCAAAGAUGGUUCUAAUCCUGCUACAUGGAUGCUGGAAAUCAGUUCUAAUGCAGUUGAGACUCAACUUAAUGUAGACUUCGCAGAAAUUUAUGCCAAUUCUGAGCUUUACCAGAGGAAUCAGGAACUUAUCGAAGAACUAAGUAUUCCAGCGCCAGGAUCUAAAGAUCUUUAUUUCCCCACUCAGUAUUCUCAGGACUUCUUUACUCAAUGCAAAGCUUGCUUCCUAAAACAGCACUGGUCUUACUGGAAGAACCCACGAUACAAUGCCAUCCGAUUGUUCAUGACAAUAGCAGUUGGUGUCAUAUUUGGACUUAUUUUCUGGAACAAAGGCGACAAGACACAAAAGCAACAAGAUCUUCUGAAUUUGCUGGGAGCAAUGUAUUCUGCUGUGAUGUUCCUUGGAGCCACCAACACAUCCUCAGUGAUGUCUAUUGUGUCAGUAGAAAGAACAGUUUUCUACCGUGAA
rnacentral:misc_RNA from 1 species